rnacentral:rRNA from 1 species
GACGAACGCUGGCGGCGUGCUUAACACAUGCAAGUCGAACGGAGAAUUUUGCUACGGUAGAAUUCUUAGUGGCGAACGGGUGAGUAACGCGUAGACAACCUACCUCUCAGAUGGGGACAACAUCGCGAAAGCGGUGCUAAUACCGAAUGAUGUAACCUUUCUGCAUGGAAGAGUUACCAAAGGCGGCCUCUAUUUAUAAGCUGUCACUGAGAGAUGGGUCUGCGUCUGAUUAGCUAGUUGGCGGGGUAAUGGCCCACCAAGGCGACGAUCAGUAGCCGGUCCGAGAGGAUGAACGGCCACAUUGGGACUGAGACACGGCCCAAACUCCUACGGGAGGCAGCAGUGGGGAAUCUUCCGCAAUGGACGAAAGUCUGACGGAGCAACGCCGCGUGAGUGAAGAAGGUUUUCGGAUCGUAAAGCUCUGUUGUUUGAGACGAACGUGCAAUUUUUGAAUAAGGAAUUGUAAUGACGGUAUUAAACGAGAAAGCCACGGCUAACUACGUGCCAGCAGCCGCGGUAA